ACGGAAGGUCCGGGCGUUAUCCGGAUUUAUUGGGUUUAAAGGGAGCGUAGGCCGGAGAUUAAGCGUGUUGUGAAAUGUAGAUGCUCAACGUCUGCACUGCAGCGCGAACUGGUUUCCUUGAGUACGCACAAAGUGGGCGGAAUUCGUGGUGUAGCGGUGAAAUGCUUAGAUAUCACGAAGAACUCCGAUUGCGAAGGCAGCUCACUGGAGCGCAACUGACGCUGAAGCUCGAAAGUGCGGGUAUCGAACAG
rnacentral:rRNA from 1 species